AACCUGCGGAGGGAUCAUUACAGAGUUGCAAAACUCCCAAACCAUUGUGAACGUUACCAUUAUCGUUGCUUCGGCGGGCGGCGCCCAGCGCUCCCAGGCCCCCUCGCGGGGCGCCCGCCGGAGGUUACCUAACUCUUGACAACUGUAUGGCCUCUCUGAGUCUCUAUACUUAAUAAGUUAAAACUUUCAACAACGGAUCUCUUGGUUCUGGCAUCGAUGAAGAACGCAGCGAAAUGCGAUAAGUAAUGUGAAUUGCAGAAUUCAGUGAAUCAUCGAAUCUUUGAACGCACAUUGCGCCCGCCAGUAUUCUGGCGGGCAUGCCUGUUCGAGCGUCAUUUCAACCAUCAAGCCCCAGGCUUGUGUUGGGGACCUGCGGCUGCCGCAGGCCCUGAAAACCAGUGGCGGGCUCGCUAGUCACACCGAGCGUAGUAGCAUACACAUCGCUCAGGGCGUGCUGCGGGUUCCGGCCGUUAAACCCCUUUUUUACCCAAGGUUGACCUCGGAUCAGGUAGGAAGACCCGCUGAACUUAAGCAUAUCAAUAAGCGGAGGAA
rnacentral:rRNA from 1 species